AAGUCGUAACAAGGUUUCCGUAGGUGAACCUGCGGAAGGAUCAUUAUCACGUAUCCACGUAUCAACCUUUGUGAACUGUACCCACCUUCUUACAAUUUUGUCGUUUUUUUGUUGUGUGUGAAGAUGUGUGUGUUUGUAAAGACACACACAGACACACAUACAUACAAUAAAACACAAAUGUUUGAAGUGUAAUUUUAUUAUUUAUUUUUAACCAAUUGAACCAUAACUCUUUUAAGAUUUAUGAACUGAUUCCAAGUGAGAGAUUGAAAAAUCUUUUUCACUUUUCGUUUUUACGAAAACACUAGAACAACUCUUAGCAACGGAUAUCUUGGCUCUC
rnacentral:misc_RNA from 1 species